AUUCCACUAGGUUAUGACUGUCAGUACGCUUUGUCUGACGUAUUUCAGUUGUUAAAAUUUAUUUAUCCGUGAUCAGAUUGUGUGUCUUAGACCAAUAUUGAAUGGAAAGUGCAACUAACAUUCGUUUGAUGUUCUCAGAAUUUGAGGAGCAGAACUCAGAAGCACAGAACCCUUUUAAUUGUAGUACAUCUGUGUGCAAUUCGUAUGGUUUUUCACCAUAAAUAAACAAAUAAUAUAAACAUAAAUUACCAAUGUUAGAAGAUAGACUAAUGGAAACUAAGUUGGAUAAGGUAAAAGGACGACUAAGAUGUUAUUUUAUGAGAAAAUUUGUGGAUAACACAGCUCACAGGGUAUUGACAAUUUGGUGAACUGAAGGAUGUUACAAUAUGUAUGGUACAGAGUCUUGGUGGGAUAAACUUACAAAGAGCCAAGUUAGAAGAUAAGGAAGCAGAUGGAAAUACAGAAUUAAGAGGAAUAUUAAAAAGAUAAAUUCUUCAGGCAUGAGAAAAAUGAUACUGGAUGAGAUCUGUAUCCAAUGGUUUUUGGAAUUGAAAAGCUUAGUUUAACUACUGGGAAGUUAGUUACUAGUUGUUUUGUGUCUCAAAUUGCUUUCAUUGAUUUGUAAAACGAUGUUUCUAUCAACGGCUUAAAUGUGCAUAUUCCUUCUGCUGCACGCUUUUCUACAUGGCUUCAGAGAUCAAAGGCAAAGGACAUACCAUGGCAGUUGACUGGUGGAGUCUGCAUAUCCUUGUCAAUGAGAUGCACACAGGAGUCACUCCAUUUGAAUCAGAGGGUGAAGACAGCGACAACUUUGUGAAGCUUUACGACCGAAUUCUGACAGAGAACCCAGAGAUGCCUAGAGAGUUUUCUGCAGAAGUGGCAGAAUUCAUCACACAGUUGUUACAGAAGGACCCACGUUUAGGUGGAAGGAAGAAUGGUGCCGAGGACAUCAAGAGGCAUCAAUUCUUCAACAACAUCAACUGGGCUGAUAUGACGCAAAAAGCUGCCUCUUGAUGAUGUCAUCUUUCUCGGCGCCGAAGAUAAUCACCAUCUUCCAUCCUCUGCUAAAUCCCAGGAUUGUGACAUGACUUCCAAGCGUUUCAGAUACACGUGUCGGCUCGUCUCAAGAGAGAUCCAAAGGGCCGUGCGUUCGGGUUGGGUUGGGUCACAAUGUCCACGCAGCGGUGGUGCACUCGUUCCAACAGCAGCCAAGGGGAUUCUUUGCUGAGGGUUCCAACGGGUGGCGUGUCAUCGGUGUGCCCUAACGGACUCAACACAUUCGCGUAGAAUCGAACGGCUUUCGUUUGAAGAAACCUCAACAUUAUCAAAUGUGACGGUUAAGUCGUGCAUCUUUGGUCAUCUACGGAAGAACGCGCCUCUCAUCAAAGGACCGGAGUCGUGGUGUUUUGUAAGACGGGAUUUCUUGACUGGCUGGGCUACUGUCGCUACUGAAGAAGACCGAUUGCUUCAUGGAGCGAGUUAUCCUGGGCAUGUGGUCAAACAUAUGUGCAGAAGAGAGAAUUAGAAAAAUUCGCAGAAUCACUAGUGAUGUUGUGCUUCGAACGUGUUUGUAUCUACUAUUUCCAGUUAACUUCAACUGUCACAGUUCUUGAAAGGAGCUCCUUGAGAAGUAGCUGUUUUCGCGGAUGUGUUUUAACGUUUGAUUUGUGCUAAGACAAACUGGAUCAACAACCAAAGCACGUACAAUGUCUUAUCAUUUAUUUUCGGCAAAUAUGAAAUACAGCUGUGAAACAUCGACUGUGAUGUAAGGAACUGCUUCAGAAUUUCAUAAAUACAACAACUAAUAUUUUGGGAGACAAAUCCACAUAACAACAGACACCCUGACAACUGACAUUGCAGGCGCAUUCUGGCAGCCAGCGUCUCGGCCGAUGAGAAUUUUUCAGUGUGUUGAUAGAAGAUUCCAUACCACACCAGAUGCGACGCAGAAAAUUAACAUUUCCCACACUCAACGUUCUUCUUCAACCUGUUUUCCGGUACCGGAUAAGUCGGGUAAGAUUGAUAGUGAAUGGACUAAAGCUGGACGUCUUAAAGAUCUUGCGUGUUCCUGAACUUCGAGGAGGAAAAUCGAAUGAGUUUGAUAUUUUGGUGUACGUGACUACCGGAUAUUGGUAAGGACGGUCUGUGUGUUGUGUCAGCCAGGAGGGUUGAAGAUUUAAAACUUUGUCGUAUGUGGACUCGCUCGGGGCCGGUGAAACUGGCGGACUUUAUCCGGAAACCUGGUGAAACAGAUUGUACUGUGUGGCUGCCUUUUGCCGGCAAGCUGGAAUGUGAAAGACCACUUAGACUCCUUUAUCUGCUAUUUCUUCAGUAUCUCUAUUACUCAACCAGCAUCCCUCGCUUUUCACUUCUAUUUAUAGAAAUGGACAACAAAACUCCUAAAUCCUCUACGAAAGUAAUCUGACAUUAUAUUCUAAUUCAAUUCAAUUCAUUUAUUAAAGUGCUUGACAACAGCCAAUAACAGCCAAGCACUAACAACAAUACUGAAAUUACAAUACAAAAGCAAACAAACAAAGAACUGAAAACAUAA